rnacentral:rRNA from 1 species
AUUGAACGCUGGCGGCAGGCUUAACACAUGCAAGUCGAGCGGGGAAGGGUAGCUUGCUACCUAACCUAGCGGCGGACGGGUGAGUAAUGCUUAGGAAUCUGCCAUUUAGUGGGGGACAACAUUCCGAAAGGAAUGCUAAUACCGCAUACGUCCUACGGGAGAAAGCAGGGGAUCUUCGGACCUUGCGCUAAAUGAUGAGCCUAAGUCGGAUUAGCUAGUUGGUGGGGUAGAGGCCUACCAAGGCGACGAUCUGUAGCGGGUCUGAGAGGAUGAUCCGCCACACUGGGACGAGGACACGGCCCAGACUCCUACGGGAGGCAGCAGUGGGGAAUAUAGGACAAUGGGCGGAAGCCUGAUCCAGCCAUGCCGCGUGUGUGAAGAAGGCCUUAUGGUUGUAAAGCACUUUAAGCGAGGAGGAGGCUACUUAGAUUAAUACUCUAGGAUAGUGGACGUUACUCGCAGAAUAAGCACCGGCUAACUCUGUGCCAGCCGCCGCCGUAA